rnacentral:misc_RNA from 1 species
UGGUUCUGGCAUCGAUGAAGAACGCAGCGAAAUGCGAUAAGUAAUGUGAAUUGCAGAAUUCAGUGAAUCAUCGAAUCUUUGAACGCACAUUGCGCCCAUUAGUACUCUAGUGGGCAUGCCUGUUUGAGCGUCAUUUUAACAUUCAUCGUCAUGAUGUUGAGAAAUGUAAAAUUCGUUUUUUACAUUCUCCAAAUAAAAUAGCGGAAAUGAUAGUUGCCAAGUGUAGUAGAAAAAACUCGCUAAGGCUUUCUUGAUCAUCUAUCCUCUUAAGACCCCUAAAUGUUGACCUCAAAUCAGGUAGGAAUACCCGCUGA